UGACCUCGUGAUCCGCCUGCCUCAGCCUCCCAAAGUGCUGGGAUUACAGGCGUGAGCCACCGCGCUCGGCCCAGGCUCUACUUAUUCUAUAUUGAGUAAAAUGCGAUAGAGAAAUGCCCAUAAGAUUGCAAAUGAAGAAUUUAGUGGUGAAUUCUUUCAUUUGCUUCUUUCUCUGAGGCAAGGAAAAAUAGGAGUAAUUGAGAGAACCAAAAUGGGUUAAGUUGUUUUUGAAUCCCAUGAAACUACAAAUAUGUUUUCUUCACUUAAAUUUAAAGAAUUUAAAAACACUGGCUGACAGCGCCUGCGGGCUGUGCCGCCGGCUAAGGUGCUGGGCUGCUGGGGGCGGGGCGGGGACCCGUGUAGCCUCUGGGCCUUGUUGUGCCCUGGCGCCACCCGGACAUCGCUCAGGCCACUGGCACCAUGGAGAUCUGGACGUCAGGGCACAUCUUUGACCACUCGUGGGAAAUUGUUACAACAGCUGCAAUGCAGAAAUAACCAAACCCUAUGGAUCUAAGUGUAGUUGGAGUUGAUGUGUUGGACAGACAUAUAGAUCCCUCUGGAAAGUUGCACAGCCACAGACUUCUCAGCACACAGUAGGGACUGCCUUCCAUUGUGAAACCUCUUAUCCUUAGUGGUGCAGCAAGAACGAAAACAUAUGUGCACGAACAUUCUGUAGUUGAUUCCGUAGAGAAAACAAUGGAACUUAACUCUACUAAUAUUUCAUUUACAAAUAUGGUUUCAGUAGAUCAGAGACUUAUACACAAACCAAAUCCUCAGGACCCAGAAAAAAUUGUUUUGACUCAAGAAGCCGUAAUCACCGUGAAAGGACUUAGCCUCAGCAGUUACCUUGAAGGUCUGAUGGCAAGUAUGUUAUCCUCAAACACUGUUAAAGGCCGAGAAGCAAUGGAAUGGGUAAUACAUAAAGUAAAUGCCAAGAUUGAAGAACUGACAGCCUCAGGAAGAGGAAGCAUAAUGACUCCAGGGGCAGCAGCAUUUGCUAAGAAGUGAUCAUGAAAGUUGGUAGAGAACGUGGGGUACCCCAGGUCUCUCCAAGCUGACUACAUAUUUAUGUGUUAUUUUAAAAAUACAACUAUAGUUUAGAUAGAUUUUUUUUUUUUAUAAGUUGGUGUAAGGCUAUGUGACUUGAUAAAAACAGAUGCAGGGCCUCUAAAUAAAAGAGAUCAUCUGAAAUUAAUAUUGUUUGAAAUUACUAUCUGAUCUUGAGGGUUCCAGUAUUUCUGUGAAAAUUCAACAAGAACUCCUUGGAAAUUGGUAUUGAUAAUGAAUCUCCUUAAGGUAGAAUUUUCAAUCUUUUCAAAGGUUGGAACUCUACCUGACUUUGGACCAACCCCAGAACAGAGCAGAGCCACCUCCGAUAGACACCCAUUGCCCUGCUGCUGUACACUUCAACAUCUUGCCCAAGGCAACUCACUUAAAAGGAGAAAUUGUGUAGUUUUAAAAUAUAUUUUGUGUAAAAUAACUUGCUCUGCUAUAAACCACCAUUAACCAGUGUUUUAAUUUGGUAAUUAAAUAUUUUUGGAGUGAAAAUUAUCACUAAAGUAACCUGACUCCAACAAAAGUAUGGUUUCAUUAUAUUAAAGAGUACUGUAUUGAUUUGUCAAAGGUUUGUAACUUAGUAAAGGUAUUCACUUCCUU